AUUUUGUCCUUCGGGUUACGAAUUAGAGACAGGUGGUGCAUGGUUGUCGUCAGCUCGUGUCGUGAGAUGUGGGUUAAGUCCCGCAACGAGCGCAACCUUGUGUUUAGUUGCAAACAGGUCAAGCUGUGCACUCUAGACAGACUGCCGUGGACAACACGGAGGAAGGUGGGGAUGACGUCAAAUCAUCAUGCCCCUUAUGAUCUGGGCUACACACGUGCUACAAUGGCCGGUACAACGGGCAGCGAAGGAGCGAUCCGGAGCGAAUCCUAAAAAGCCGGUCCCAGUUCGGAUUGCAGGCUGAAACUCGCCUACAUGAAGUUGGAGUUGCUAGUAAUCGCGAAUCAGAAUGUCGCGGUGAAUGCGUUCCCGGGUCUU
rnacentral:rRNA from 1 species